UACAGAGGGGGCGAGCGUUAUUCGGGAUUAUUGGGCGUAAAGGGCGCGUAGGCGGCUGGGCAAGUCCAAGGUGAAAUCCCUCGGCUCAACCGAGGAACUGCCUUGGAAACUGCCCGGCUUGAGGCCGGGAGAGGGUAGUGGAAUUCCCAGUGUAGCGGUGAAAUGCGUAGAUAUUGGGAGGAACACCGGUGGCGAAGGCGGCUACCUGGACCGGUUCUGACGCUGAGGCGCGAAAGCGUGGGGAGCAAACAGG
rnacentral:rRNA from 1 species